UACAGAGGUCUCAAGCGUUGUUCGGAUUCAUUGGGCGUAAAGGGUGCGUAGGCGGCGCGGUAAGUCGGGUGUGAAAUCUUGGAGCUUAACUCCGAAACUGCAUUCGAUACUGCCGUGCUUGAGGACUGGAGAGGAGACUGGAAUUUACGGUGUAGCGGUGAAAUGCGUAGAUAUCGUAAGGAAGACCAGUGGCGAAGGCGGGUCUCUGGGCAACAACUGACGCUGAGGCGCGAAAGCGUGGGGAGCAAACAGG
rnacentral:rRNA from 1 species